rnacentral:rRNA from 1 species
UGGGGAAUCUUGCACAAUGGGGGCAACCCUGAUGCAGCGACGCCGCGUGAGCGAUGAAGCCCUUCGGGGCGUAAAGCUCUUUCGACCGGAACGAUAAUGACGGUACCGGGAGGAGAAGCUGCGGCUAACUACGUGCCAGCAGCCGCGGUAAUACGUAGGCAGCAAGCGUUGUUCGGAGUUACUGGGCGUAAGGAGUGCGUAGGCGGUUUUCUAAGUUCGGUGUGAAAUCUCCCGGCUUAACUGGGAGGGUGCGCCGAAGACUGGGAAGCUGGAGUGUGGGAAAGGCAGGCGGAAUUCCUGGUGUAGCGGUGAAAUGCGUAGAUAUCAGGAGGAACACCGGCGGUGUAGACGGCUUGCUAGACCAUAACUGACGCUGAGGCACGAAAGCGUGGGUAGCAAACA